UCCACAAGGGUUAGGCCACCGGCUUCAGGUGUUACCGACUUUCAUGACUUGACGGGCGGUGUGUACAAGACCCGGGAACGUAUUCACCGCAGCGUUGCUGAUCUGCGAUUACUAGCGACUCCGACUUCAUGAGGUCGAGUUGCAGACCUCAAUCCGAACUGGGACCGGCUUUUUGGGAUUCGCUCCACCUCACGGUAUUGCAGCCCUUUGUACCGGCCAUUGUAGCAUGCGUGAAGCCCAAGACAUAAGGGGCAUGAUGAUUUGACGUCAUCCCCACCUUCCUCCGAGUUGACCCCGGCAGUAUCCCAUGAGUUCCCACCAUUACGUGCUGGCAACAUAGAACGAGGGUUGCGCUCGUUGCGGGACUUAACCCAACAUCUCACGACACGAGCUGACGACAACCAUGCACCACCUGUUUACGAGUGUCCAAAGAGUUGACCAUUUCUGGCCCGUUCUCGUAUAUGUCAAGCCUUGGUAAGGUUCUUCGCGUUGCAUCGAAUUAAUCCGCAUGCUCCGCCGCUUGUGCGGGUCCCCGUCAAUUCCUUUGAGUUUUAGCCUUGCGGCCGUACUCCCCAGGCGGGGAACUUAAUGCGUUAGCUGCGUCACGGAAUCCGUGGAAUGGACCCCACAACUAGUUCCCAACGUUUACGGGGGUGGACUACCAGGGUAUCUAAGCCUGUUUGCUCCCCACCCUUUCGCUCCUCAGCGUCAGUUACGGCCCAGAGAUCUGCCUUCGCCAUCGGUGUUCCUCCUGAUAUCUGCGCAUUCCACCGCUACACCAGGAAUUCCAAUCUCCCCUACCGCACUCUAGUCUGCCCGUACCCACUGCAGGCCCGAGGUUGAGCCUCGGGAUUUCACAGCAGACGCGACAAACCGCCUACGAGCUCUUUACGCCCAAUAAUUCCGGAUAACGCUUGCGCCCUACGUAUUACCGCGGCUGCUGGCACGUAGUUAGCCGGCGCUUUUUCUGCAGGUACCGUCACUUUCGCUUCUUCCCUGCUAAAAGAGGUUUACAACCCGAAGGCCGUCAUCCCUCACGCGGCGUUGCUGCAUCAGGCUUCCGCCCAUUGUGCAAUAUUCCCCACUGCUGCCUCCCGUA
rnacentral:rRNA from 1 species